GGCCCCUUCAUCUAGCGGUUAGGAUUCAAGGUUUUCAUCCUUGCCACAGGAGUUCGAAUCUCCUAGGGGUCACCA
rnacentral:tRNA from 2 species